ACCAUUAUUUUGAUAAGUUCUUCAUUUUCUUAACUAUUAAUCUAAUCUUUGAGAAUUUUCAGUUUUACUCUUGCUGUUUAAGAAAUCGAAGACAUGUAAGUGGUUUGAUUGUAAUCAAUACAAUUUUGUUUUGUCUUAUGUAACCACAGGAUUACACAUGAAUCGUAUAUGUGAGGCACUCUAUACCUUCUUCUUUUUUUUUUACCAAAGUCACCUUCAUAAUGGAUGAUAACACAGAACAAGGCAUAACAAGUACUGUUUUUAAAGGAGUUACAUUCAAAUGAGGGAAGAUGUACAAUGAAAACAUGAACACAUAAGACGAUUUGAAAUGAUGAUUAAUAGUACAAAGGACAUAACGCUGGGAAAUGUAGACAGAAACUUUAAGGAUGGAGCAUGGCUGGAAAGACAUUACAUUCAUCCAGGAAAGCCAACUCUGGUGUUACAAAUGCAGUGGCAAACAGCAAGGUCUAACAACCUUGAUGUAAUGGUACGUCAAUUCUUCUACACAUCCCUUCUGGACUACCCUUUCCCUAUGGUAUACAAGCCCUGGGUUUAAGGGACAAUGGCACAGGGAUUCACCAUUUUGUCUUGCCACCAUCUGAGACAG
ensembl:lncRNA